CCUACGGGAGGCAGCAGUGGGGAAUAUUGGGCAAUGGGCGCAAGCCUGACCCAGCAACGCCGCGUGAAGGAAGAAGGCUUUCGGGUUGUAAACUUCUUUUAAGAGGGAAGAGCAGAAGACGGUACCUCUUGAAUAAGCCACGGCUAACUAAGUGCCAGCAGCCACGGUAAUACGUAGGUGGCAGGUGUUAUCCGGAUUUACUGGGUGUAACGGGCGUGCAGCCGGGACUACAAGUCAGAUGUGAAAUCCCGCGGCUCAACCGCGGAACUGCAUUUGAAACUGGUGUUCUUGAGUAGCGGAGAGGUAAGUGGAAUUCCGAGUGUAGCGGUGAAAUGCGUAGAUAUUAGGAAGAACACCAGUGGCGAAGGCAGCUUACUGGACUGUAACUGACGUUGAGGCACGAAAGCGUGGGGAGCAAACAGGAUUAGAUACCCGUGUAGUC
rnacentral:rRNA from 1 species